UUUUAUUUUAACCUACCGAAACAAAACACCCCUUUUGAUCCAUCCCAUUUUCUACUUACAAGAAAUCAAGAGAAGAAGAUGGGAGAGGAAAGUGAUUUGGGCGAAUACGAACAGAUGUUUCUGUUAGAAGCCGUAGAUCUGAUGCCCAAUCAAGAAAUGAGAAGAAUGGUAUAUCUAUUAGACAUUCAAGCAACUAUUUUAGCUGUUUUUUUGGCUUAGGGACAUGGUUGAUCUUCUCGUGCAUGCAUCACAAUGCUGUUCUCCACAUUGCCAAUAUCCAAACUGUCGGAAGGUGAAUUGGCUUUUCCGGCAUGGGAAUGAAUGCAAGAGAGGUCAUUUUGGAGUUUGUGUUCUGUGCAAGAAAAUGUGGUAUCUCUUGCAACUUCAUGCUCCAUCAUGCAAAGAACCUGAAUGCCACAUAUCACGAUGCAGAGAUCUAAAAGAACAUUCAAGAAGGCUGCAGCAGGAGACUGAUGCACGGCAUAGGGCUUCUGUGGAGGGGAUUCUAAGACAGACAGCUGCAGACAUUGCCGGUAACUCUGGGUAACCAUUUUGUACAUAUUGAUAUGGUUGUUUUGGAGGUAAGGCUUCCAGAUAGAGAGCAGGAGGUUCCAUUAGGGACUGCUUGAAAUUAUAAGCAGUGUGGGAGAAGUGGCAUGCAUAGGUGUGCAGAAGGGAUAGGCAUGGCCAUCAUUCUAGAAAUUCUAUUUUAUGAUUUUUGGAAUUGGAUAUCAAAGACAUGAUCUUGGUUCCCAGCAUCUCAAAGGACUUUCGUAGUCUUGUCAAUAUCUACCGUCACCUUAUGUUCUGAUGGCAAAAAAUCCAUCAAAUAAUCUCCUUUAGGUUUACUAUAAUCUUCUUUCGGUUUCCAUUUACUGUAUAUAUAUAUUUUUGAUAGCAUAGAAUGCAUUCCAAAUAA